CCUACGGGAGGCAGCAGUGGGGAAUAUUGGACAAUGGGGGCAACCCUGAUCCAGCCAUGCCGCGUGUGUGAAGAAGGCCCUCGGGUUGUAAAGCACUUUCAGUGAGGAAGAACGCCUGGGGGUUAAUACCCAUCAGGAAAGACAUCACUCACAGAAGAAGCACCGGCUAACUCCGUGCCAGCAGCCGCGGUAAUACGGAGGGUGCGAGCGUUAAUCGGAAUUACUGGGCGUAAAGCGCGCGUAGGUGGCUUGAUAAGCCGGUUGUGAAAGCCCCGGGCUCAACCUGGGAACGGCAUCCGGAACUGUCAAGCUAGAGUGCAGGAGAGGAAGGUAGAAUUCCCGGUGUAGCGGUGAAAUGCGUAGAGAUCGGGAGGAAUACCAGUGGCGAAGGCGGCCUUCUGGACUGACACUGACACUGAGGUGCGAAAGCGUGGGUAGCAAACAGGAUUAGAUACCCGUGUAGUC
rnacentral:rRNA from 1 species